GUACACUGAGUACCAUAUUUGAUUGCCCCGCACACUAAGUGCCACAUUUUGUCGAUAUGUCGUCAGACAUUAAAAUAUUCACGUAUAUACAAUUUAUACAAUAUUAAAGCAUUAGAAACAUCAAUUUAACAAUGCUUAUUGCAUACAAACUUACCUGGCUAAAUUGUAGAGAUACCAAAGUUCAGGGGCAUUUUGGUAAUUUU
rnacentral:lncRNA from 1 species